CAUGAGUGGCGGACGGGUGAGUAACGCGUGGGCAACCUGGCCUGUACAGGGGGAUAACACUUAGAAAUAGGUGCUAAUACCGCAUAACGGGGGAAGCCGCAUGGCUUUUCCCUGAAAACUCCGGUGGUACAGGAUGGGCCCGCGUCUGAUUAGCCAGUUGGCAGGGUAACGGCCUACCAAAGCGACGAUCAGUAGCCGGCCUGAGAGGGCGGACGGCCACACUGGGACUGAGACACGGCCCAGACUCCUACGGAAGGCAGCAG
rnacentral:rRNA from 1 species